AGACUCCAGAUGGAAGCAAGCCAUCCCCUGCCUCGAGAAAACACCGCCACUCCAGUGGAAACGGACAGGCGCGCACACAGCGAGGAAUGGUAAUGACAUUCCCAAGUCCAUAUGGGAAUCCCUGCUUCUGUGGGCCUCAGUCUGUCAUCUUCUUUGGAGCGGGACCAAAGUAAGUAAGAUAAAGUCACAAUUUCUCAUCCUUCUUCACUCAACUUUUCUUUGAGGAGAGAAUGCAGCAGUUUCAAGGACAAGGGAUUCGUACCACUGCUUCUCACUCAAUAAACAGCAGAGGCAGAAUUUGAACACUAGCUGUGUGACCUUACGUAACUUCUCUGAACCAUUGCUCACAUGUAAAAUGUGGAAAAAAGUAUCCACUCCUCAGUGAUGUUGUGACGAUUAAAAGAACAAGAGAUGUAGAGUGCUCAGCACAAUGCCUGUGCUCUGGGAAGCACUCCAGAUGUGUCUGCUUUUGUUGUGAUUUUGCCAUUCUUCAACAAAGUAAAAAGAGCCUCAA